rnacentral:tRNA from 1 species
UACAUACUAGCUCAAUAGUAGAGCGCUCGUCUUGAGAACGAUUAGUUGCAGGUGCGAUUCCUGCGUGUGUUA